rnacentral:rRNA from 1 species
AGCGAACGCUGGCGGCAGGCCUAACACAUGCAAGUCGAACGAAGUCUUCGGACUUAGUGGCGGACGGGUGAGUAACACGUGGGAACGUGCCUUUAGGUUCGGAAUAACUCGGGGAAACUUGUGCUAAUACCGAAUGUGCCCUUCGGGGGAAAGAUUUAUCGCCUUUAGAGCGGCCCGCGUCUGAUUAGCUAGUUGGUGAGGUAGAGGCUCACCAAGGCGACGAUCAGUAGCUGGUCUGAGAGGAUGAUCAGCCACAUUGGGACUGAGACACGGCCCAAACUCCUACGGGAGGCAGCAGUGGGGAAUCUUGCGCAAUGGGCGAAAGCCUGACGCAGCCAUGCCGCGUGAAUGAUGAAGGUCUUAGGAUUGUAAAAUUCUUUCACCGGGGACGAUAAUGACGGUACCCGGAGAAGAAGCCCCGGCUAACUUCGUGCCAGCCGCCGCGGUAAUAC